rnacentral:rRNA from 1 species
AUGAGGCAGCUUCAUCAAAAUAGUAAAAUCCCCUCGAUCUUAAUAGGUGAUCUCAAUGAAAUUCAAUUCCUUCAUGACAAGGAGGGUGGUAAUCCUCGUCCUACUCGGUACAUGCAAGCUUUCCAGGAGGCCAUUGAUGACUGCGAGCUGCAUGAUCUAGGCUUCCUCGGAGAUCGGUUUACCUGGCGCCGAGGGAGGAUAAGGGAGAGGUUGGAUAGAGGCUUAAUAAACGAUGCAUGGGCAAACUUGUUUCCUCAUGCGGCUCUUGAAAAUUUGGAGUUUAAUCAUUCCGAUCACCAACCACUACUGGUGAACACUACUUAUUACGAUGGUAUGGGAAACGGUAGUGGUAGCGCCUGUCCGAAAAGGUUUGAAGCAAGAUGGUUAUGA